GAUGCGCCAACUAUUAUAACCAUCGGAUGAGUAAUUGGGGCAUGAGAGAUAAUCCACACCGUUGAUUGUUGAUUACCAGUUAACUUGUUGCUGUAGGUAAAACAAAAGACAAAAAUAAAAACAAUUGCUCUCUCCUUCAAUCAGAGAUGUUUCAAGUCGACUAGGGUUGGGUUUCUCAUUUUUCUUUCUCUUCGAGUUCGAUUCCUUCCACGGCAGCUCCUCUCCUCCUUCUGUGACAACGAGAAAGCGGCGACGACCACAUCUCCUCUCCUCUCAGGCACUCCUCCUUCUGUGACGACGUCGACGAGACAGCAUCAGCGACGUCAUAUCCUCUCCUCGAUUUCUCUCUCAUAUCAGUUUAAGGUAAGCAUCAUUUCCUUUGAAUUUAGGGUUUUUUCUGUUAAAUUAGGAUUGUCGAAUUAGGGCUUCUGAAUUGAAUUGGGGGUUGAGGUAGAUGAUUUUUCUGUUAAAUUAAGGCUGUCAAGGUGGUUGAGAUUGUGAUGGAUUGAUAGUUUUUUAUUUUCUGGAUAUUUGGUGGGUCUAAUUUAUAAGAUUCAUUAAUCGUUGAAUAUUGAUAUAAGUUUGGAGCUCAUUUAUUGGAAUUUAUUGGUCUGCAAAGCGUUUUUUUUUCCUCUUGCUAUAACUGCCCUGACAAGUUAUUUACAAUGUGUGGACUUAAAUUUCGACCUCCAAUCUCUCACAACUCAGUUUGCUCUUUUUUUCCAUAUAUAUACACACAUAGUGACUUCAUGAGCUUUGUCUCAUACAAAGCUUUGUUUAGGCUUAUUAUCAAUUGUUGGAUGAACAUUUCAUGUCUCGUUUUGAAGUAAUUUUCAUUUUUGGGUUUUGCUUUUGGUUCCUAUCUGGUGCUGAAUUUUGGAUUAUUGGGAGGGUGUUCCUCUUGUAAAUGAUUGGUGUUUUUUUGUAAAAGUUUCAUAGUUAUUCAAUUUGAGCUCUGCCUUUAUGUUUCUUUUAUUGUAGUUGUUCAUUUCAGAUUAGUAC